GUCCCUGACGGGAGGUCGGGUUGCAAGCCUAUCUGGGAUUUGUUCUAGCGCCACUAUAGUGGCGCCUUAUCAGAUUGCAGCAUUUUUCACGUGGCUUGGUUACACUUCCGCUUGCAUCUAGUUGCAAAACCGCAUGCAGUAUUGCUGUGCCAUCCUUGUGGUUUACACGUCAUCAAGUCGGUUAACACCCACUUGAGAAUAAUAAUAUUCAUAGCAGUACUACAUAAUGCGCAGAACAAAUCCCAGAUAGGCUUGCAACCCGACCUCCCCGUCAGGGACGGUCGGGCUCCGCCCAACUAAUGUUCCACCAUCUUUGAGCAUUAGUUUACCUCUUAGAUUUACUACUACUGCACUAUACUGCACUUACUGUGUAUAUAGUAGGUAUCUUCAAGACCAGCUAGCUCAAUAGGACUAUUGCCGUUGCAUGCCAGUCUCAUGAAUUAGCCGCCCUUCCUAAGUGAGAGACCUAGGAAGGGCGGCUGAUUUGUGAGACUAACCAACAAGCUGAAAGACAUCAUCUCAUCCGCCCUGUGUUCGACUGUGGGAGGGAGCAGCUCAAUACUUGACUGAAAGUGGUCGCAAAGCAGCUAGGCUAAACGCACAAUUAAUGUGCAUGUGAUGCUCAUUCAACUCCGAAAUGAUUUUGUUGUUGCCAAACCAGUUCAAGAUACGACAAGAAAUGAAGAUUUUGAUGAGCUCGAGCAUUCUUCCUCAUUAGUAUUCACACCUGAGUUUGCCAAUGUGGUCAAUGUCGAUGGAUUGAGAAUUAAAGACGGCAAGGUGUUUGUUAUUUGGAAGUGGCAGGUGCUACAUCCACAAGACAAGACGGUAAUAAUAGUGAGGGGAAUUGCUGUUUGUUUUCGGCCAACGGAACCCCGGACUAUUCAGACGCAGAGUCUGAAACAGUCACACACCAUACCUUUCAAGGUGAUCGGAUGUAUUAAGGAAAAACUAUAUCCAGAAGUACUCUGAAAAGCAAGUGUACUUAUUGACGAAGGUGUCCCUGUACCUAUAUAUAGAAGUACAUGUUGAACCUGACAAUCCUGUGACUCCAAAUGCAAUUGCGUUGUAGACAGUUCCUUUGGAUACAUAGUGAAGGAAGCAUGCAUGUGGGAUGCUGUGUAUGAUGUCCUCAUAAGGAAUGACAUUACUGUUGUAACAUUCAAGUGGGUCAAAUAUAUGUCAGUGACUGGUAUAUACCGUAUGGGCCCAGGGUUUUUUGCUAACAUAACAACGAAAGGUGUAUGGCCAUCAAAUAAAGUAGCCUAACCUAAUUUUGCAUUGAUCAAUUUCCAAUGACUGCAUUAAUUUAAUUGUAUAACACUCACACGACUGUAAACAAUCAUGUUCUAAUAGCAUUGUUCACUGCUCAUGUCAUUUUUUGUUGUACAUUUCUAUAUUGAAAUUCAACCAAGUGCAGCAAUAACAUGCAUCAUAAUUAUACACGUAUUAAUAGCUGUUAGCCAUGAAUAUAAUGCUCAUGA